rnacentral:sRNA from 1 species
CAGCCUUAACUCCUCCACGCUGAGCGGCAGCCAGAUGAGCCUGUCAGGCGACGCGGAGGCGGUGCAGGUCCGCGGCUCCGUGCACUUCGCGCUGCACUACGAGCCGGGCGCCGCCGAGCUGCGCGUGCACGUGAUCCAGUGCCAGGGCCUGGCCGCCGCCCGGCGCCGCCGCUCGGACCCGUGAGUGCCCCGCCGGCCAAGCGGGGCGCGGCUGUCACAGCCCAGCCCACCAUUCACAGGGUCUCGGCCUCCUCGUCCUCAUCUUCAAAAUGGGAACAACAGCGUUAUUGGGAGGCUUGCGAUUAAGCGAGACAAUCCCUGUAAAGCGCUUAGCACGAGGCCUGGCACGUGUUCGGGGUGGUGGCUGGGGGAGCCCACAGGCAGGGGAGAAGGCUCUGGGAGGGCCCCUCCUCACCUCGGGUUCUCACCUCCCCAGCUACGUCAAAAGCUACCUCCUCCCGGAUAAGCAGAGCAAGCGCAAGACGGCGGUGAAGAAACGGAAUCUGAAUCCGGUUUUCAACGAGACUCUCCGGUACUCUGUCCCGCAGGCCGAGCUUCAGGGCCGCGUGCUGAGCCUGUCUGUGUGGCACCGCGAAAGCCUGGGUCGCAACAUCUUUCUGGGUGAAAUUGAAGUGCCCCUGGACACGUGGGACUGGGGCUCUGAGCCCACCUGGCUCCCCCUGCAGCCCCGGGUCCCACCCUCUCCCGACGACCUUCCGAGCCGCGGGUUACUCGCCCUGUCCCUCAAGUACGUCCCCGCCGGCUCCGAGGGCGCAGGACUGCCCCCGAGCGGGGAGCUGCACUUCUGGGUGAAGGAGGCUCGGGACCUCCUGCCGCUGCGGGCAGGAUCCCUGGACACUUACGUACAAUGGUGAGGAGUGCUGGCCCUCCGGGC